GAUGAACGCUGGCGGCGUGCCUAAUACAUGCAAGUCGAGCGAACGGACGAGAAGCUUGCUUCUCUGAUGUUAGCGGCGGACGGGUGAGUAACACGUGGAUAACCUACCUAUAAGACUGGGAUAACUUCGGGAAACCGGAGCUAAUACCGGAUAAUAUUUUGAACCGCAUGGUUCAAAAGUGAAAGACGGUCUUGCUGUCACUUAUAGAUGGAUCCGCGCUGCAUUAGCUAGUUGGUAAGGUAACGGCUUACCAAGGCAACGAUGCAUAGCCGACCUGAGAGGGCGAUCGGCCACACUGGAACUGAGACACGGUCCAGACUCCUACGGGAGGCAGCAGUAGGGAAUCUUCCGCAAUGGGCGAAAGCCUGACGGAGCAACGCCGCGUGAGUGAUGAAGGUCUUCGGAUCGUAAAACUCUGUUAUUAGUGAAGAACAUAUGUGUAAGUAACUGUGCACAUCUUGACGGUACCUAAUCAGAAAGCCACGGCUAACUACGUG
rnacentral:rRNA from 1 species